CCACAGCUCUCGUGUGCGAGUGUGAUCGUCUUCAAUCGGCGCCGGAGAAGAAUGUUGCAGUUCUCGAUUCGGCGAGUGAAGAAAUUGAGUGUUCUGAGGCCUCAGAUCUUUGCUCUUGGAAAUUCUCGUUUCUCCACCUCUACUGAACCGUCUUCCUAGCCUAAUCCUCCGCGCAUACUUGUUUCAUCUAGCGUUGUUACGAAAGGCUGAUAUAUACUUCAUUUACGCAAGCCUUCUCAAUCCUCAGCAUUCAUAGAUGUCAUAAACCUAGUGAGUUACCAGCUCAUUUUACGCACUCUUUUCUAUUUCAGAUUUGAGAAAGUUAAGUUCCUUUAGGUACGGGUACGAAAAUGUGCUUUUGUUUACAGGCAAGGAAGUUGUUUCUCAAGUUCCAUUGACCACAAAUGAGGAAUUUAAAGCUGCAGUAUCUGCAGCAACGCAGGCAUUUCCUGCUUGGCGUAAUACUCCAGUUACAACUUGCCAACGAAUUAUGCUCAAGCUUCAAGAACUCGUUAGGCGAGAUAUCGUAAGUUCGUUUUUCAGUAAAAGGAAUAUUCCAAAUCACUUCAAAAGUGGAUCCCCCCCUCUCAUUUCAGGACACACUUUCUCUAAAUAUUACAACAGAACAAGGAAAGACAUUAAAGGAUGCACAUGGAGAUGUAUUCCGUGGGCUAGGUUAUAAUCCUUUAGUUCCUUCCUCUUCCUGUAUAUGUUUGUGAUUAUGUGAUGGGAAAAAUCGUUUUAUUAUAUGGCCUGAGCUGAAUGUUCGAUAGAGGUUGUGGAACAUGCAUGUUGAAUGGCAUCGCUACAAAGGGGGUAGUAUGUCUCUAAUGUGUCACAUGGAAUUGAUACCUGCAGCAUCAUAGAGCCUCUUGGUGUUUGUGCUGGGAUUUGUCCAGUCAAUUUUCCUGCCAUGAUCUCCCUAUGGGUUAGCCUGUUAUUCUUCACUGUCAUUCCAAUGGUUAUAAUUUCAGCAGUAAAGAAUUAGUUUGAUUUCUCAAAGGCUGGAGUACGCCGUUAUCUACUUCUUUUGUGGUGUAAAAGACUUGCUGCUAUGAAAGAUUUUUAUCCCCCAAAAAUUAAUUUAUUAACUUCAUUCCAUACCGAUAUUAUCCCUCCAAUUAGCUUUUCUUUUUCUUAUGAUAAUAGACUGACAGUGGCAAUAGUUGUGCAAUGGGAUAAUCCUCUGCAGAUAUUCUCAAUUGCUGUUACAUGUGGGAAUACCUUUAUUUUGAAGCCUUCAGAAAAAGAUCGAGGAUGUUGUUAAUGCCAUUUGUGAUGAUGAGGAUAUAAAGGCAAAAUAUCAUUCGUCGGUUCAAACAUUGUAAGCUAUCUUUACUGAAAUAACUUUUACUUCAUGGAGUUGGCAAUCUCAAUACAUUCUAGGUUAAUUUCUACAAGUGGUUCUUGUUGCAACUUACUAAAAUUCUAUUAUAGGAUAGGGCCCUUUCCACUUUUUGUUUUUAGAAUCUAGAACUGAUAGUUUAGAUAUUUGUUCAUGUGGCCAUUGGAGUGUUACAAGUUAUUUAAUUGGUGAAACAUCGUCUUACAUUGGGACCUUGGCGUUCUUUACUUGGUCUACCAUUAGUACAAAGUGAUUUAAGUUUAGCUUUGAGGUUUUAUUAUUGCAGAUGAUUGGUUUCAAUAUUAAGUUUAUUUUCCACACUCAUAUAUUUGGCCUCAAGUUUAUCCUAUAAUUGUUUUGCCAUGGUCACCUUUAUAAAUGGAUACUUAUGAUCCUUGCCAAGAUAGGACUGAAUAAUUCGGCAAGUUUGUUGAUUUACUUUCCUUCAUUCUGCGUCUGUCAUGUCUUCGGCCAUCGCCUCUUCGAGAUAAACAUCAAGGUCUUGCCUGACCAACAAAUCACUAACUUCGCCUUGCCAAACACCAAAAUUAUUGGUUACAUCAAUUUUUUCUACUUUGAGAUUAGAGCUCAAAAUUCUUGAUGCACGCGAGUAUCAGAUGACUUUGCCAUUUGUAACAAGUUUCUCUACCAAAAGAAUAAUCCGAAUGAAAGUAGAAAAAAAUUCUUGAAAAAAUGAUUUCCAAGAAAAUAAGCACACUUGCAAUGAGAAACUUGUCUUUGAUAAUCGAUGGUGAGUGUGAGCUAUUCUCGUGGUCGAUGAAGUUGAAUUUUUCAGAAUACCCCAAAUGCCACAACUAAAAUGCUCUGAUACCAAUUGUUGUAAUGGAAGCGAAAACAAGAUCAAUCGCACUCACACACCCACAAACAGAAAUUAAACAAAGAGCACAAAGAUUUAUGUGGUUUGGAGAAAAGAAAUUCUCCUACAUCCACGAGUAGUAACCAAUCUCAAUAAUCUAAGUGUUUACGAAGUGUAUAUCUCACACUAUCAAGUCUCCCACCAAAAUUCUCCCAAAUGUCACUCAACAAACACAAAAUGAUAUUCAAACUCAAUCAAACUUAAUACAUCUCAACCAUUCUAGAUAACCCUUUAUAUAAACAUAGAAGCAUUAGUGUCAUACAUGAAUCACGAUGAUUCAUGUAUCAAAAUGGAAGAUGAACCAAAAAAAUGCCGCAUAAGAGAUGCAUUAACCUAUUCUUCAUGACAACUUACA